CUGCAGCAAGAUUUUAAAUCUUUAUUCAGGAUGGACAGAAAACCACAGGAUGAAACUGGUCAGAAGUUUCUCUCCUUCACUCAGUCUUUUCUACCAAUGGCAGCGUGUUGGGUGAUACUGUUAGUAAUCAUGUCCCUUCAUAUUUACUUUACCUCAGUCAUUUCUGAAAACAACGCCAAGCUGACUGCAGAAAACCAGAACCUGAAGACACAAAAUCAGGAGCUGGAGA